rnacentral:misc_RNA from 1 species
AGUAAAAGUCGUAACAAGGUUUCCGUAGGUGAACCUGCGGAAGGAUCAUUACCGAGUACCGGAGCCUUCGGGUUCCUACUCCCACCCUAUGUUGACUUUAAAACGUUGCUUUGGCAGACCGGCGAGUUCACCGCUGGCCCUAGUGGCUGGAGAGUUGUCUGCCAGAGGAAUUUUAAACUCUGUUAAUUGUGAAUUCUGAGUAUUGAGAAAUUGAAUCAAAACUUUCAACAACGGAUCUCUUGGUUCUGGCAUCGAUGAAGAACGCAGCGAAAUGCGAUAAGUAAUGUGAAUUGCAGAAUUCAGUGAAUCAUCGAAUCUUUGAACGCACAUUGCGCCCUUUGGUAUUCCGAGGGGCACGCCUGUUCGAGCGUCAUUUAAACCAUCAAGCCCAGCUUGGUCUUGGACCUGGUCGAGCGACCUGUCCGUAACCAUUUGGCGGUGCAGUCCGGCUUCAAGCGUAGCAGAAUUUUCGCUUUAGGAGUCCGCGGCGGUACCUGCCAGGAAAUCACCCUCUAAAGUUUGACCUCGGAUCAGGUGGGGAUACCCGCUGAACUUAAGCAUAUCAAUAAGCGGAGGAAAAGAAACCAACAGGGAUUGCCUCAGUAACGGCGAGUGAAGCGGCAACAGCUCAAAUUUGAAAUCUGGCUUCCGCCCGAGUUGUAAUUUGCAGAGGAGGCUUUGGAGUCGUCCCGGUCCAAGUUCCUUGGAACAGGAUGUCGCAGAGGGUGAGAAUCCCGUACGCGGCCGGAAGGCUUCUCCGUGUAAAGCCCCUUCGACGAGUCGAGUUGUUUGGGAAUGCAGCUCUAAAUGGGAGGUAAAUUUCUUCUAAAGCUAAAUACCGGCCAGAGACCGAUAGCGCACAAGUAGAGUGAUCGAAAGAUGAAAAGCACUUUGAAAAGAGAGUUAAAAAGUACGUGAAAUUGUUGAAAGGGAAGCGUUUGUAGCCAGACUUGGCGGCAGUUGCUCAACCGGUCUUUGCCCGGUGCACUCUUCUGCCGACAGGCCAGCAUCAGUUCGGGCGGCCGGAUAAAGGCAUUGGGAAUGUGGCUCCUCGGAGUGUUAUAGCCCUUUGCACAAUGCGGCCAGCCCGG